ensembl:lncRNA
CUCUUAUUUUUUUCCAGAGCGGUAUUUUAAUUGAGUGACACACAGCUACAUCCUCAGCUGUAUCUCCUCCCUGUUCCUCACAGCUGCUCUACACGAGUCCGCGCGUCACUCGAGCAGCAGCAGCAGAGCGCGUGGGCUGCUGCACCCGCAGCUUUCUCGUAAUCAACCGCGUGAGGGUUCUUACCUUCAGCCGGGAGAGAGAGAGAGAGAGAGAGAGAGAGAGAGAGAGAGAGGGGCAGACAGAAAGAGAAAGAGAGAGAGAGGCAGACAGAAAGAGAAAGAGAGAGAGAAAAGUUAGGAAGCUCCUGUCUGUCACUGAAUCUGGACUAAACCCAGCUGAGGAGACGAAGUGUCUGUCUGUCUGAGGAGGAAGAGGAGGACUGGAGUGAAUUACUCCACAGUGAACCACCUUCACCAUCUUUACCUGCUUCAGCCGCUGUUUCUCUGAGUUUAGUAGCUGCAGUGUUGUUGAGGAGGAGUAUCUACAGGGGGGUCUGUUGUCUCCUGAGCGCCUGGGAGACGCGGCUGGUCGGUAACCGGUCUAAUGCUGCUGCUGCUGCUGCUGCUGGAGAUGGAAUUUCCUCAGACAGUGUUUCUGCUGAUUCAACAAAGAUACACAAGGCAGUUUUAACACACUGGUCUACACAGCCUUUGCCCUGUCCCUGCUGCUGGGAUCAGGGGGAAGGACAACCUAAAAAUGCUCCAUAACAACACCUGUGAGAAUAUCACUCAAAUCUCUGUAGACAAGAACCCAAUGAACCUGGUGGUGAGUGCCAUUAUGUUUCUGAGUGCGGUGGUGGGCAAUCUUCUGGCUCUGGCCAUCCUUGUUGUUCGGCAAAAAGAACGCAGAGCGAAAUCCUCUGUCUUCUGCAUCCUGGUGACGGGACUGGCUCUGACGGACCUGGCAGGUACGUGCUUGCUCAGCCCGCCGGUAUUCGUCUGCUACGCCCACAACACCUCUCUGGUGGGUCUGACGGGAGGAGACACGUGGCUGUGUGGACUUUUUGCCUUCGCCAUGACCUUCUUCGGCCUGGCCUCUAUGUUGAUACUGUGCACCAUGGCUGUGGAGCGAUGCCUGGCCAUCAGCCACCCGUACUUCUACUCUAAGCACGUGCGCCGCAGCUUCGCCAAGGCCGUGCUCGUCCUCAUAUACCUCUUCACCUGCGCCUUCUGCCUGCUGCCCUUCUUCGGCUUUGGACGGCACAAGCAGUACUGCCCCGGCACGUGGUGCUUCAUCAAGAUGGAAGCAGAGGGUGAGAGCAGGGAAGAGGAGCUCCGGACGCUGUCCUUCUCGCUGUCGUACGCCUUGCUCAUGGCUUUGCUCAUCGCCAUUGUCUUCAUGUGCAACGGCUCCGUCAUCGUCAGCCUGUGCCGCAUGCAUCGCAGCCACAUGACACGCCGAGGUUCGGUGAUCUCUGCUGGACGGAAGAGAAGGCUGAGCACCUGGUUCGGUCAGGGUGAGGAGGAGAUGGAUCAUCUGGUGUUGCUGGCCUGCAUGACCGUCAUCUUCGUUAUCUGCUCUCUGCCGCUCACUGGCUAAAUCUGUGCUAUAAUGCGUGCCCUCUGAGAGACUGUCACCUCAAAUAUUUGGCUUUGUCAAUGCGAUCAGUCCAGUGGGAAACGACCAGCAGAAUCUCUUGGCCUUUCGAUUCUCCGCUUUCAACCCUGUAGUGGAUCCCUGGAUCUUCAUCAUCUUCCGCAAGUCCGUCUUCCAUAACGUUCGUGCAUUCUUCCGCUGCCGCUUCGGGAAGGCGGCGGUAAAGGCCACGCCCCACAGCGCCCUGUCAUUUCCCCUGCAGAGCGGAGUUCCUAUAGACCCCUCAGCUCUUCAGAGCAAGCUAUACUGCAGCUUUCCCCAGUAAGGACCGCUGAUGUGGAGUAGAAACUAUCCUUUAUUCGGGGAAUACUAUUCUGAUGCACUAAGGAAGCACGAAAAGCUGAGGAACAUUGAAGUCCAGGAGCUACAGGGUGUGAAAGGGAUACACAGGGCUGUACAGUACCACAGACUAUAUACUGUACAAAGGAACGAAUGUAAAUGAGUGUACAUAUUAUAAUAAGUUUGGUCAAAAUGUGUGAAUAUUUGUACACACCUUAGCAUGUAAAUCAUGCUGACGGCACUGACGACAAAGUGAAGCAUAGAAUUCGUCUGAUUCCAAUGUGCUUUUCCACAUCAUUUCUACAUGAAUAUACAGCUCUGGAUAAAAUGAAGAGACCACUUCAGUUUCUGAAUCAGUUUCUCUGAUUUUGCUAUUUAUAGGUUUAUGUUUGAGUAAAAUGAACAUUGUUGUUUUAUUCUAUAAACUAAGGACAACAUUUCACCCAAAUUCCAAAUAAAAAUAUUGUCAUUUUAGAGCA